UGGUCAUCAUUGCGAUGGAGAUACACCUGUUCCCAUGUCGAACACAGAAGUUAAGUCCAUCUACGGCGGAAGUACUUGGGGGUUGCCCCCUGGGAGAUAUGCGAGUGGCCAAGUUUGGGAGUUUAGCUCAGCUGGGAGAGCA
rnacentral:rRNA from 2 species